rnacentral:rRNA from 1 species
GACGAACGCUGGCGGCGUGCCUAACACAUGCAAGUCGAACGAAGUGGCGCACGGGUGAGUAACGCGUAAUCAACCUGCACAUCAGCGGGGGACAACAGUUGGAAACGACUGCUAAUACCGCAUACUGAAGGAGGGGAUGGAGUCUGAUUAGCUAGUUGGAGGGGUAACGGCCCACCAAGGCGAUGAUCAGUAGCCGGUCUGAGGGGAGGAACGGCCACAUUGGGACUGGGACACGGCCCAGACUCCUACGGGAGGGAGCAGUUGGGAAUCUUCCGGAAUUGACGAAAGGCUGGCGGAGCAACGCCGCGUGAGUGAUGACGGCCUUCGGGUUGUAAAGCUCUGUUAAUCGGGACGCGGUACCGGAAUAGAAAGCCACGGCUAACUACGUGCCAGCCGCCGCGGUAAUAC